rnacentral:rRNA from 1 species
CUGGCUCAGGAUGAACGCUGGCGGCGUGCUUAACACAUGCAAGUCGAACGGAGUUUUAACGGAAGUUUCGGAUGGAGGUUUAAGAACUUAGUGGCGGACGGGUGAGUAACGCGUGGGUAACCUGCCUCAGUACAGGGGGAUAACAGUUAGAAAUGACUGCUAACACCGCAUAAUAUGGGUGAAACCGCAUGAUUUUGCUAUCAAAUAUUUAUAGGUAUGAGAUGGGCCCGCGUCUGAUUAGCUAGUUGGUGGGGUAAAAGCCUACCAAGGCGACGAUCAGUAGCCGGCUUGAGAGAGUGACCGGCCACAUUGGGACUGAGACACGGCCCAAACUCCUACGGGAGGCAGGCAGUGGGGAAUAGUUGGACAAUGGGGGAAACCCUGAUCCAGCGAACCGCCGCGUGAGUGAAGAAGUAUUUCGGUAUGUAAAGCUCUAUCAGCAGGGAAGAUAAUGACAGUACCUGACUAAGAAGCCCCGGCUAACUACGUGCCAGCCGCUGC